CCAGUUGAAAGGUCAAAACUUUAAAUGUCUCAGUGCAGCUACAAAAGAUGCAAUCAAUGAAUUUGAGGAUGAUAUCCAGAACAUUGAUCCAGAACUUGUUAAGGGACAAUAUCAGCAAGUGAAUGUGAACAAAAAGCAGAAAUAUCAGGACUUUUUGAAGACUCACUGUCUAGAGCGCACAUACACUUUUCAGGUCAGAAAAUGUAAUGAUGCGACAUGUUGUGUUCCGCCAGUUAUUCAGUUUCCUUGGCUGCCUGACCCAGAAAUUGCCUCGGAUGGUCAGCACUUCAAGCCCUUUGAUGAAGUAUUUGGCUUUCCUACGACUGAAAAAGACCGUCCAUCUUCUCAAAGGCAAACCCUGACUGCUAUUGCGGAAGAUCAACAGGGCUGCAAGAAUUCAGUACUUGUUGGUCAGAAUGUCCGGCAGACGGUUCACAGCCAUGAAUGUGGGAAACCACGCUGUGUCUACUCAAAAUCCUCUUUCACAAGUCGUGAUACCAGGUCCUUCAAGCGACUGAUCGAGUCUCAUGACUACACUUGUGGGUCCAUCUUGACCCCUGAUGGUCACAUACUUCAAGGCAAGGCAUUUGUUUGACUUCAGAUGUGCUGUACCACUCCAAUCGAGUUUGCAUAUUUUGCAUCAUCGUCCAUCGUCCGCAAGGAUAUAUGUUGUCAUUGUGGGAGUUUCGGGGCAGAACGAGACAAGGAUCUCAUGCAGAACUAUCAUUAAUUGCAAGCACCUUGGAUCUCCAAAGAGGAAUCCUAUUCGGAAAUGAAUAUGUUAACUAGUGUGUUAAUCUUAACUAUAAAACAGUACACUUUAAGCUGGUUGCUUUGUUAUAUUAUCUGUAGAACAAAAGGCUACAUUUUACUUUAAACCAAUAGAGGUGCAAAUACCGGUAAGUUAAAUUCAAAUGAUUUAUUUUCUUGAAUAUGUAUG